rnacentral:rRNA from 1 species
UACGUAGGGUGCAAGCGUUAAUCGGAAUUACUGGGCGUAAAGCGUGCGCAGGCGGUUUUGUAAGUCUGUCGUGAAAUCCCCGGGCUCAACCUGGGAAUUGCGAUGGAGACUGCAAGGCUGGAGUCUGGCAGAGGGGGGUAGAAUUCCACGUGUAGCAGUGAAAUGCGUAGAGAUGUGGAGGAACACCGAUGGCGAAGGCAGCCCCCUGGGUCAAGACUGACGCUCAGGCACGAAAGCGUGGGGAGCAAACAGG